UCGGAUUCCGGUAACCAGCUGCAGGCUUCUUAAGAAGCGGUGGAACCACCAGUCAUCGCUCGAUGGUUACCACUUGUUGACCUUGAUCCCGCUUCCCGGAGCCAAGCCUGGAACUUCACCGGUCAGGCGCGUCUCGCUGGUUGGCACCUCCAAGCCGUUCUGAUCCGCUGCGGCCCGGGACCCCCGAACCUACCUGGACUCUCGUUUCCUCCUGACGUCCUCCAGUCUCAAUUCUCGAACCAUCGUUUGACCUCAUUAAAACAAACCCUCUUAACCGUAAA